rnacentral:rRNA from 1 species
GGGGGCGGUCAUAGGGAGCGGGGAAACACCCGCUCUCAUCCGAACGCGGAAGUUAAGCCCGCUCCCGCGUCGCCGUUAGUGAGGUGCGGGAGCCCUCGCGAAGGCGGCGUGCUGCCCCCA